UACAGAGGUCUCAAGCGUUGUUCGGAUUCAUUGGGCGUAAAGGGUGCGUAGGUGGCGCCGUAAGUCGGGGUGUGAAAUUUCGGAGCUUAACUCCGAAACUGCAUUCGAUACUGCGGUGCUUGAGGACUGGAGAGGAGACUGGAAUUCAUGGUGUAGCAGUGAAAUGCGUAGAGAUCAUGAGGAAGACCAGUGGCGAAGGCGGG
rnacentral:rRNA from 1 species